rnacentral:lncRNA from 1 species
AAGGCAAGUUACAUGUUGAUCAUCCUUUACCUAUUAUUUUCUAUGCAUGUAGUAUUAUGUCACCCUAUGAAAAUUAUGCAUGUAUAGAAAUAUUAUCAUUGCUAUGCUAUUGAGCUAUAUCCCUCGUCAUUGAAGAUCGUGUUAGAUAUAUUUUGCUAUGCUAUGUAGAAGGGGAUUGGUUUCUGUAUUCAUUGAGUUUAUGUGAGGAUUACUACAAAAUAAAUUGAGUAGUAAUUCAGGAUGUAAUACACCUCUGGGCGGAUGUGGUAUUGCUGGGUGGUUUCAAGAACAUCAUGGUUUCUACCCUCUGAAUGUAAGUGGAUGCCGUCGAGGUUCAAAAAGAUCAAACAGACUUAGUGACUAGUAGCUUCCUUGUGCGACC